CCUGACUUUCCCCCCAGCAGCCAAACUCCACAACUGCCUCAGCACUGCCCCCCACCUCCCACCAGACUCAGCCUCACAGCAAUAACAAUAAAAAUGGUUUUAUUAUGUAUAAUUGUUUUAUAUUAUGUGCUUCAGUGUCCUUCAGAACUAAGGGAUGUAUUUGGUUUGCUAAAACUGAUUACAGACUAGAAAUAUCUAAAACCUACAACAUAUAAUAGUGUUAAGAUGACAUCUGUAUUCAGUCAUUUACCCAUUAUAUUUAUUAACUCUUUAAUACUUUCUGAAGGCAUAGAAUACUCCUGACAGACAGAAACUGUAUACUCAAAGCUCACAGUAAUUGACAACAUCUUGUAUAAAGUAAAUAUUAGCCCAAUUUUUUCCUGGCCAUUUCUUUUUUCAACAAAGUUCUCCAAACUCAUUUUAAGUCCAAGGGCUAUAUAUUUGGUUCCACUGGGUAUGUCUACACAUGUACUUUAAUGCACAGUAGCCUAUUUUACUGCAUAUUAAAGCAGUGUGUAAAAAAAACUGUGCUAUUAUGCUAAUGCACAGUAAAAUAGGCUACUGCACAUCAAGUGUCACCUGAAAAGCAUGUGCUUGUGCUACUGCACAUUAGGGAAGCCUAAUGCACAUUAAUUUAGUACCUGACAUUGGAGGUAAUGCAUUUAAUGCGUAUUAGGAAAAAUGCAUUCAUGCACAUGUAGACACACCCACUGUCUUUGUUUUUGACCACUUUUAAAGCCCAUCUAAGGAGCAAGUUGGGACUCUCUCAUAGAGGAAUAUUGACAUAUGGAAGGGGUCUCCCACCUCUCUAGGGAGUGCCCUAAAAUCUAGACUCUAUAGAAUAGAUUGGAUAAAGGCACUUUCUGCCUCCCUUCUUGAAGCUGUGCUACUGAGUGGCAAGAAAUGCAAAUGGAUAGAAUGAGGGGCAGAGAAAGUAAAAAAAA